rnacentral:rRNA from 1 species
CAGUCGCCGCGGGAAUACAGAGGGUGCGAGCGUUAAUCGGAUUUACUGGGCGUAAAGCGUGCGUAGGCGGCUUCUUAAGUCGGAUGUGAAAUCCCUGAGCUUAACUUAGGAAUUGCAUUCGAUACUGGGAAGCUAGAGUAUGGGAGAGGAUGGUAGAAUUCCAGGUGUAGCGGUGAAAUGCGUAGAGAUCUGGAGGAAUACCGAUGGCGAAGGCAGCCAUCUGGCCUAAUACUGACGCUGAGGUACGAAAGCAUGGGGAGCAAACAGGAUUAGAUACCCGGGUAGUCCCUGUCUGUUAUAC